rnacentral:rRNA from 1 species
GACAAUGGGGGCAACCCUGAUCCAGCCAUGCCGCGUGCGUGAAGAAGGCCUUAGGGUUGUAAAGCGCUUUCACCGAUGAAGAUGAUGACGGUAAUCGGAGAAGAAGCACCGGCUAACUUCGUGCCAGCAGCCGCGGUAAUACGAAGGGUGCAAGCGUUGUUCGGAAUUACUGGGCGUAAAGGGCGUGUAGGCGGCUCGGUUAGUUAGAUGUGAAAGCCCAGGGCUCAACCUUGGAACUGCAUUUAAUACUGCCGAGCUAGAAUCCAGGAGGGGACAGUGGAAUUCCGAGUGUAGAGGUGAAAUUCGUAGAUAUUCGGAAGAACACCAGUGGCGAAGGCGACUGUCUGGACUGGUAUUGACGCUGAGGCGCGAAAGCGUGGGGAGCAAACAGGAUUAGAUACCCUGGUAGUCCACGCUGUAAACGAUGUCUGCNUAGCCGUCGGGGUACUUAGUACUUCGGCGGCGGAGUUAACGCAUAAGCAGACCGCCUGGGCAGUACG